rnacentral:rRNA from 1 species
UACGGGGGGGGCAAGCGUUGUUCGGAAUUACUGGGCGUAAAGGGCGUGUAGGUGGCCAACUAAGUCCGACGUGAAAUCCCCAGGCUUAACCUGGGAACUGCGUCGGAUACUGGAUGGCUUGAAUUCGGGAGAGGAAUGCAGAAUUCCAGGUGUAGCGGUGAAAUGCGUAGAUAUCUGGAGGAACACCGGUGGCGAAGGCGGGUCUCUGGGCCGAUACUGACGCUGAGGAGCGAAAGCGUGGGGAGCGAACAGG